rnacentral:rRNA from 1 species
UACGUAGGGGGCAAGCGUUGUCCGGAUUUAUUGGGCGUAAAGCGCUCGCAGGUGGUUCGUCGCGUCGUGCGUGAAAGACCCCGGCUCAACUGGGGGGCGUCGUGCGAUACGGGCGGACUGGAGGCCAGUAGGGGGAUGCGGAAUUCCGGGUGUAGUGGUGGAAUGCGUAGAGAUCCGGAGGAACACCAGCGGCGAAGGCGGCAUCCUGGACUGGUCCUGACACUCAGGAGCGAAAGCGUGGGGAGCGAUCCGG